rnacentral:rRNA from 1 species
GACGAACGCUGGCGGCGUGCUUAACACAUGCAAGUCGAACCAAGUGGCUAACGGGUGAGUAAUACGUGGGUAACAUGCCCUCCUUUUUGGGAUAAGCCAUGGAAACGGGGUCUAAUACCGAAUAAAGGGGGAUGUGCUCGCGGCCUAUCAGCUUGUUGGUGGGGUGAUGGCCUACCAAGGCGGUGUCGGGUAGCCGGCCUGAGAGGGCGACCGGCCUCAUUGGGCCUGGGAUACGGCCCAAACUCCUACGGGAGGAAGCAGUGGGGAUUAUUGCACAAUGGGGGAAACACUGAUGCAACAGCGCCGCGUGCGGGAUCGCGGCAUGCGGGUUAUAAACAGCUUUCAGCCUUAACGCGGUAGUAGCAGAAGAAGCACCGGCUAACUACGUGCCAGCAGCCGCGGUAAUUC